rnacentral:rRNA from 1 species
CCUUUCUCCAACGGAUCUCUUGGCUUUCGGAUCCAUGAAAGACGCCACAAAAGUGCGAAACUUAAUGUGAAUUGCAAAAUUCAAUGAAUCAUCCAAUCUUUGAACGCAUCUUGCGCUCCUUGACAUUCCCAGGAGCAUGCCUGU